rnacentral:tmRNA from 1 species
GGGGAUGAUCGGUUUCGACAUCGCCUGCGAUGCUGCGGGAAGCGGGCCGAGGAUGCAGGGUUAUCUCGUAAACGAUCUCUGCGAACCAAUAACUGCCGAAAAGAAGCAGUCCGACUUCGCCCUCGCUGCCUGAGCAGCGAGCCCGAGUCCGUCAGUGCGUGACUGAUCCCGUCACGCGUCCUGGCGUCAUCUAAGGGAUCUCGCUGCGCAACGGCGUCCGGACGUUGCGCGGGACUUUUCCCGGACUGGGCUCGUCGACUCCGUUGUCUGUGACUAAGGGUCGGGGCCGAGCAGAACGAAUUGCACAGACUGCGCCCGGAGAAGACGCCGCUUUUCAGCGAUGGACGGGGGUUCGAUUCCCCCCAUCUCCACGA